rnacentral:misc_RNA from 1 species
GACGAACCGCGCGAACGUUAAUCGGAAUCACUGGGCUUAAAGCGCGUGUAGGCGGAUGGCCGCGUCGAAUGCUGAAAGCCCCCGGCUCAACCGGGGGACCGGCGUCGAAACGGGCCGUCUGGAGGGGCGUAGGGGGAGCUGGAACUCACGGUGGAGCGGUGAAAUGCGUUGAGAUCGUGAGGAACGCCCGCGGCGAAAGCGAGCUCCUGGACGCCUGCUGACGCUGAGACGCGAAAGCCAGGGGAGCGAACGGG